UAUCGAUCUGAAAUCAGGUGGGACUACCCGCUGAA
rnacentral:rRNA from 1 species